rnacentral:lncRNA from 1 species
UUCUGCUAGAUGUGAAUAAGACAGUGAGUAAUCCUGGUUGCUACAACCAGCCUCCUUGUUACCACAAGGAAAACCGACUUACAGAUGACGCUGAUGCUAUGGGUCAUGGAGCAGAGGUGAAAAGAACCUUUUUUCUUGAUAACAUCAUUUAGCUGCUGAAUCAACCAACCCUGAAGACCACCCUACAUCUGAAUCUCCUUUAAUGAGGAUGCUGUGACCCCUCAAUGGAUAUGCUAAUCAUCACAUCAGAAGCACAACUAGCUUCAAAUGGAAACCAGAUUGCACUUGGUCACUGACGAAGCAGGAGAUUAAACAAGCUACACUGUGUCUCUGGGAGAACAAAAAGCCAAAAGGCACAUUUAUCACCUCUGAAUCACAACACUGAGGAGACGAAGACAAGCCAAGAUCAUCCUAUGCCUGGAAGAGAUCUCAGUUGUAUGGAAAUAAUCAGCCAAUAUGACCACCCACUUCUGGAAGAGCAUCUCUAAGACAGAGGGGGUACUGUGUCUCUUCACUUUCCAUACAUAGUUCUCAAUGUGUAUUUUUUUAAUUGAUUACUUUUUCCCCUUGAAGGAUUUCCUAAAAUCUAUUUAAUUUUACCUGACCUAUGUCCCAGAAAUUGUCUUUUUUCCUACUGUAAUUGCCAUUUAAAGUAAUAAAAAAUACUUGGGGAAAAAAGUUCAUCUUUCUAUAGCUUUAUAAAUAUGGAGCAAAUAUAUCUGUUCAUUUGAUGAAUGUCCAUUUAAACCA